rnacentral:rRNA from 1 species
AGUCGAGGGGCUGCGGGGAGCAAGCUUGCUUGCUCUGCCGGCGACCGGCUCACGGGUGAGUAACACGUAUGCAACCUGCCCUCCGCAGGGGGAUAACCCGGAGAAAUCCGGACUAAUACCGCGUGGUACAUCUGUGGGGCAUCCCACGGGUGUUAAAAGGAAGCGAUUCCGGCGGAGGAUGGGCAUGCGGCGCAUUAGCUUGUUGGCGGGGUAACGGCCCACCAAGGCGACGAUGCGUAGGGGUUCUGAGAGGAAGGUCCCCCACACUGGUACUGAGACACGGACCAGACUCCUACGGGAGGCAGCAGUGAGGAAUAUUGGUCAAUGGGCGGGAGCCUGAACCAGCCAAGUCGCGUGAGGGAAGACGGUCCUAUGGAUUGUAAACCUCUUUAGGCGGGGAGCAAUGCCGGGCACGCGUGCCCGGAGGGAGAGUACCCGCAGAAUAAGCAUCGGCUAACUCCGUGCCAGCAGCCGCGGUAAUACGGAGGAUGCGAGCGUUAUCCGGAUUUAUUGGGUUUAAAGGGUGCGUAGGCGGAUUUUUAAGUCAGCGGUAAAAUGUCCGGGCUCAACCCGGGCCGGCCGUUGAAACUGGGGAUCUUGAGUGGGCGAGAAGUAUGCGGAAUGCGUGGUGUAGCGGUGAAAUGCAUAGAUAUCACGCAGAACUCCGAUUGCGAAGGCAGCAUACCGGCGCCCGACUGACGCUGAGGCACGAAAGCGUGGGGAUCGAACAGGAUUAGAUACCCUGGUAGUCCACGCAAUAAACGAUGAAUGCUAGUUGUCC